CCUACGGGAGGCAGCAGUGGGGGAUAUUGCACAAUGGGGGGAACCCUGAUGCAGCGACGCCGCGUGGGUGAAGGAGUGCUUCGGCAUGUAAAGCCCUAUCGGCAGGGAAGAAGCAAGACGGUACCUGACUAAGAAGCCCCGGCUAACUACGUGCCAGCAGCCGCGGUAAUACGUAGGGGGCGAGCGUUAUCCGGAUUCACUGGGUGGAAAGGGAGCGUAGACGGCCAAGCAAGCCAGGGGUGAAAGCCCGGGGCCCAACCCCGGGACUGCCCUUGGAACUACAUGGCUGGAGUGCGGGAGGGGCAGGCGGAAUUCCUGGUGUAGCGGUGAAAUGCGUAGAUAUCAGGAGGAACACCGGCGGCGAAGGCGGCCUGCUGGACCGCGACUGACGUUGAGGCUCGAAAGCGUGGGGAGCGAACAGGAUUAGAUACCCCUGUAGUC
rnacentral:rRNA from 1 species